GAGGUUGUCGUUGAGUGGUUAAGGCGAUGGACUAGAAAUCUUUUGGGAUCUUCCCGCGCAGGUUCAAAUCCUGCCGACAUCG
rnacentral:tRNA from 1 species